rnacentral:rRNA from 1 species
UGAGCCCCCUGAAGAGUCGUUCAAGACCAGGACGUUGAUAGGUUGGGUGUGGAAGCGCAGUAAUGCGUUAAGCUAACCAAUACUAAUUGCUCGUGAGGCUUGACCCUAUAACUUUG